CAUAUAGGAUAAUCAACUAAACAUGUUAUUGUUCAUUUAUUAAAAUGUUUUGCUAUAAUGGGAGUUCCUGGAUCUAUAAAAACAUAUAAUGGACCUGUGUAUACUAGUUUAAAAUUUAAGAAAUUUUUACAAGAAUAUCAUAUUAAACAUGUUACUGACAUUCCUGAUAAUCCUCAGGGACAGACACUUAUAGAACGAGCUCAUCAUAUGUUAAAAUUACAAUUAAAUAAAAUAAAAAAGGAGGAAUAUGGGGAAAAUGAAUAUGGGGAAAAGGAAAUUGAUAUUUUAGGUGAAGGACAAAAUGUAACCUAUAAGAAAUUUAUGAAACAAUUAAUACAAACACCACAUCAACUUUUACAUAUUACUUUAUUUACAUUAAAUUUUUAAAAUUUGCCACAAGGAGACAUUGAAUCUCAGGUUGAAAAACAUUUUAAAGAAACUGACUCAGAAUCACCUCAACCAGUCUGGGUAAAAUUAGAUCAUGAUAAUUGAACACCAGGACAAAUGUUUGCAAAGAGGAAGGGAUAUGCUUGUGUUUCCACAGAUGGCAGAGCGACCCAGGUCUGGCUUCCUGAAUGAAAAAUUGGAUUCCGGAGUCAAGACAAUGGCCUGGACGACUAUUAAAUACAACCUGAGAUGGGGAAAGAGAAUAUCAACUAAACAAGUUGUCUGAGUUGAAUUUUUUCUAAUUACAUAGCUUUGCUAUACUUCAUAAAUAACAGAAGGAAACCAAAGGAGAAAAAACAAGGGAGGAAGGUAAACCAGUUUUAGACAUCAAGAUUGGAUUAACGACAAAGCAGCAGUACAUCUUGCAUCUUCCUACCAAACAACAGAAAGUGUUCCACUCCUAGAGUUACCCUCCCCCACCUAACAACAGAUCAUUUUUUGCCUGAACAAAAAGGUUUUCCAAUGUCAGGAAAGCUCAACACCAGAGCUGAUUUUGAUUCUUUGAAGUUUUAUUUUUUUCUGACUAAUGCCACACAUAUAAGACUUGCCACCAAUUGCCAUGAAUCUGAAAUGGCAGAAUAUUGCUUUGUUCCUUUGCUCUGGUAGUUCUCAACAAAGAAAAAUCUUCUCUCUCUCUCUCUCUCUCUCUCUCUCUCUCUCUCUCUCUCUCUCUCUUCCUAGAGAUGCUUCAC